AGUUGCCAGCAUUCAGUUGGGCACUCUAAGGUGACUGCCGGCUAAAAGUCGGAGGAAGUGGGGAUGACGUCAAAUCAUCAUGCCCCUUAUGACCUGGGCUACACACGUGCUACAAUGGGCGGUACAAAGGGUCGCGAACCCGCGAGGGGGAGCCAAUCCCAAAAGCCGCUCUCAGUUCGGAUUGCAGGCUGCAACUCGCCUGCAUGAAGCCGGAAUCGCUAGUAAUCGCGGAUCAGCAUGCCGCGGUCGAAUACGUUCCCGGGCCUU
rnacentral:rRNA from 1 species